rnacentral:rRNA from 1 species
GAUGAACGCUAGCGGGAGGCCUAACACAUGCAAGCCGAGCGGUAGCGUUUCUUCGGGUACUUGAGAGCGGCGCAAGGGUGCGUAACACGUGUGCAACCUCCCUUUAUCUCGGGGAUAGCCUUUCGAAAGGAAGAUUAAUACCCCAUACUAUAAUGAUUGGCAUCUAUUAUUAUUGAACACUCCGGUGGCUAGAGAUGAGCACACGCGAGAUUCGAUAGUUGGUGAGGUAACGGCUCACCAAGUAAAUGAUCAUUAGAGGUCCUGAGAGGGAGAUCCCCCACACGGGAACUGGGACACGGACCAGGCGCCUACGAGACGCAGCAGUGAGGAACAGUGGGCAAUGGGUGGGAGUCUGAGCCAGCCAGCCCGCGUGAAGGAUGACAGUCCUAUGGAUGGUAUGCAUCUUUUGGACAGGGAUAAACCUAUCCUCGGGAGGGUAGCUGAAGGUACUGUACGAAUAAGCACCGGCUAACUCCGUG